GUGUUCUCACAGGUGUUUUUCAGACCUGAUCCUCUGCAUCAGAUAGUCAAAGGUUACACCGGCAGCACAUACAGAAAACACUUGCACUACUUGCUUUUUCUUUUGCUUAUAUAAUAAGCGAUAAAGACCACCCUGAGUGAUCAAGCUCUUGUGUUUGUUGAAAACAUCUGAGAGAAGAGUAAACCGUCUUGUUCCUCUCGCAGACUGAGGUACCUGGGUAGUUCCUGCAGCCCCCGGCGGAGCAGCCUCUCACCCAGCGGCCUUCGUUCACAGAGACCGUCCACUUGUGGAUCUUAUCGUCCUCCAGGGCGUCGGGGGGUCCGUUCCACUCCACCUGACCCCACGGGUUCCUGAGACGCACCAGACGAACUUUGGCGUCCUUGUGCUGAGACGGCCUGCACUGUGGGAGGGCGCAAAACCAGAGGAGACUGUCACAUUUAAACUGUGGGAGUUGGUCACACACAAUAUAUCGUCCUCUUUGUCAGUGUCCGGCUUUACCUCCUCCACUGCCGUCACAGAGUAGGCGUGACCCUUCACGAGUCCCGUCACGGGUGUUCACAGAUACCACAGGUGAGAAAGUGUGACUCACAUCAAUGGAGCAGCCCAUGAGGGAGCCUCUCUCCAGAGCUUUCUUCAUGAUCUUAUAGAGCUCUUUGGGAGCCUCCUUCAUCUCGUAGAACUCGGUGACUCCACCGGUGAAAUCCUCCAUGGCCUCCGUGGUGUUUCCACCCUUCAGGGCCUCGUAGGAGCCAUGCAGCCUGGACAGAAGAGCUCAGUUUCUCGCUCUGUUUCAGCCGAAGGUGAACGCUGCACCGGAAAACACUGACAGCAAAAGCUCUUCUGGCCUCCAGCAUGGAAACUAAAACAGUUCGGCACUCACUUGGCGUAGGCCUUCUCCAGCAGGGCGCUCCAGAACUCGUUCCUCUCAGCGGACUUCGUGAAGACCAGCUGGUUGUUGAAGGUUGGGAUGCGGUCGUC